AGUGUAUCACAAUUUGAGGAGAACAGACAUUGUCCGAUGGGUAACACAGGGAGAAGAUAGAUCCUGCAUUCGGGAAAUGGAGAGAGCGGAAACCAGAGUAAAACUAGAAGAUCAUGUCCAUGUUUGGUUUGGCAAACCCACAGAGAUUGUGUAACUGAAACAAAUAGCUUCACGCUCUGAUUUCCUGGAAUGUCCUAUUCCACCUCCUCUACCCAGAAGCCUCAUUACGAGGAGAGCAGGACAAACCUGAUGAGCUUGCAAUUACCGAC